rnacentral:tRNA from 1 species
GGCGCGUUCGUCUAGUGGUCUAGGACACCGCCCUCUCAAGGCGGAGAUCGCGGGUUCGAAUCCCGCACGCUCUACUA